GAUAAGGUUAAGUGAAUAAGGGCGCACGGUGGAUGCCUUGGCACUAGGAGCCGAUGAAGGACGGGACUAACACCGAUAUGCUUUGGGGAGCUGUACGUAAGCUAUGAUCCAGAGAUUUCCGAAUGGGGGAACCCAGCAUCUUUAAUAGGAUGUUACGAUUGUGUGAAUACAUAGCACAUUCGAGGUAGACGCAGAGAACUGAAACAUCUAAGUACCUGCAGGAAGAGAAAGAAAAUUCGAUUCCCUGAGUAGCGGCGAGCGAAACGGGAAAAGCCCAAACCAACAAGCUUGCUUGUUGGGGUUGUAGGACUCCAAUAUGGUCGUUCUUUCAGAUAGUCGAAUGACUUGGAAAAGUCAGUCAAAGAGGGUAAAAACCCCGUAGACGAAAUGUGGAAGACACCUAGGAGGAUCCUGAGUACGGCGGAACACGAGAAAUUCCGUCGGAAUCCGGGAGGACCAUCUCCCAAGGCUAAAUACUCCCUAGUGACCGAUAGUGAACCAGU
rnacentral:rRNA from 1 species